rnacentral:rRNA from 1 species
UACGUAGGGUGCGAGCGUUAAUCGGAAUUACUGGGCGUAAAGCGUGCGCAGGCGGUUCGUGAUGUCUGAUGUGAAAGCCCCCGGCUCAACUGGGGAGGGUCAUUCGAUACUGCUCGGCUCGAAGACAGGAGAGGGAAGUGGAAUUCCCGGUGUAGUGGUGAAAUGCGUAGAUAUCGGGAGGAACACCAGUGGCGAAGGCGACUUUCUGGCCUGUUCUUGACGCUGAGGCGCGAAAGCUAGGGGAGCAAACGGG